rnacentral:rRNA from 1 species
UACAUGUGGGGCAAGCGUUGUUCGGAAUUACUGGGCAUAAAGGGUGCGUAGGUGGUUUGUUAAGUCAGGGGUGAAAUCCCGCGGCCCAACCGUGGAACUGCCUUUGAUACUGGCGAACUUGAGUGCGUGAGGGGUAGGGGGAACGAGCAGUGUAGCGGUGAAAUGCGUAGAUAUUGCUCGGAAGGCCAGAGCCGAAGGGGCCCUACUGGUGCGCAACUGACGACUGAGGCA